UCACUUGUCCCUUAAAUGAGGACGCGUAUGAAAGGCAACAUGAGAGAAGACCUGUCUCCUAAGGAAUGCCAAUGAAAUUGAACUACCAGUUCAAAAGCUGGUAUAAAAAAGCAAGACAAAAAGACCCUGUGGAACUUUAAUUAACUGCUUUACAUAACAUAAACCAGCAAUUUUAGUUGGGACAACUUUAGAAAAAAUAAACUUCCUAAUUUUAAUAGACCAACAAGUCAAAAACAUAAUGACCCAGUAAUACUGAUUAACGAAACAAGCUACCCCAGGGAUAACAGCGCUACCUUCUCAAAGAGUUCAUAUCAACAAGAAGAUCUACGACCUCGAUGUUGGAUCAGGAUACCCAGACGGUG
rnacentral:rRNA from 1 species